rnacentral:rRNA from 1 species
GUUAUAUGGUCAAGUGAAGAAGCGCAUACGGUGGAUGCCUUGGCAGUCAGAGGCGAUGAAAGACGUGGUAGCCUGCGAAAAGCUUCGGGGAGUCGGCAAACAGACUUUGAUCCGGAGAUGUCUGAAUGGGGGAACCCAGCCAUCAUAAGAUGGUUAUCUUGUACUGAAUACAUAGGUGCAAGAGGCGAACCAGGGGAACUGAAACAUCUAAGUACCCUGAGGAAAAGAAAUCAACCGAGAUUCCCUUAGUAGUGGCGAGCGAACGGGGACUAGCCCUUAAGUGGCUUUGAGAUUAGCGGAACGCUCUGGAAAGUGCGGCCAUAGUGGGUGAUAGCCCUGUAC